AAGAUCCCAACAUGAAGUACAAACAUUUUCUUUUUAAAGAAUGAACGCAAAUGAACGAAAAUUACAUUUUCUUUAAAAAGAAUGUGAACUCACAUUUUCUUUUUAAAGAAUGAACGAAAAUUAUUCCAAUAAAAUAAUUGGUCUCAUGAUGAUAGUGAUCAUCCUUAAAGACACAACACGUAAAGGAGAAAAAGCAAACAACAACGAUCCAGCUUUCAUGAUCUGUCAUUACUUUUUAACAGAAAAGAAACAAGGAUCACUCAAACAUUGAUCCUUAACUGGCGCUUUUGGUUACCGAUUUUUAUGUUUUUGUGGUCUUCCCCCCUCCCCUUAAGAAACUGCUAAAAGCUCCCGAUGCACAUGUCCGAAGUUUAGCUCUCAGUAGGUCAAAGCUAAAUUAAAUAUUUCCCCGAGGAGACGGCAUGUUUUUAUAAGAAAAAUUUUUUUCAAGCCAGCAAGUUAAUUGCUCGAUCUUCUUCCUGCAUUCGUUAUACAUACACAUAAAUGGAUUUAUCAAUUGUACAGUUGCAUUACCAUUAUUAAAUCAUAUAUGUCAUGCUUUUGCAUCAUUAUUCUGCUUAACUAUAACAAAAUAUUCGUCUUCCAAUAUAAGAGUCAUCAAGUGGCAACACGGUGACACGUAAGCGUGGCCGGCCUUUAGGAAUACGGAAUAAAACUAAAGGUAUACACCUACUUUUUUUAUGGACUGAGCCGAGCAAUGUUAAAUUAUUAACCACAUAUUUGUCUAUAAUUUUUUUUUUUUUUGUAAAAGGCAUAUUUGUCAAUAAUUUUGUGCUUAAAAAUGAAAUAUAAUAACAAGAUGUUUUCGUACUACUUGGUCCUAUAAUUACCAUUCAAUUAAACUACUAACCUUUUUCUCGGACAGCUCGCCCAUCCAUGAGAUUUGAGCAACAAAAUUUCGCACCAAAAUUCUAUGACUGUGAGUCCUUAUCCAACUAUCUCUCACAAAAUUAAAAACUUAUAUAUAAAUAAAUAUAAAUAUAUACUCAUUAGUAAAUAUUAAUAUAUAUAUAUAUCUAUAUUUUAAAAAAAAAUUAAGAAAAAUAUAUUUCACCACUAUCUUUCGAUUCAUAUAUGUAUUAUUUAUUGUAAAGUUUAUACAUAUAUUUUAAUAAUUGUGAUUUUAAAAACAAUUGUUCGCUUCGUAGGUGGCUGCGAUAUAUGCGUGUUACACGGUAUAUAAAUUCCAAAUAUAAACAUUUUUAAUCUAUAUUCAAUAGUUACUGAUUAUUUAAACACAUUAUAAAUUUGAAUCAAUGUAGUCCAAAAAAAAUGCACGUGGAAUGAGAAGGGCAAUCUUGCUAUCAAAACAUAUUUCAAGAAGGAUAGAAGGCAAGCAUCAAACAGUGCAAUCUACCACUUCACAUUUAAAUCUAAUAAUUUAUUACUGUGAUCAACUAUAAAUAUUAAAAUUAGUGGUGUAUUAAUUUAUCUUGAAAUACACUGUUUGGACUACAUUGAUUUAUCUUGGAGGUUGGUGUAUUAAUUUAUUACUGUGAAAAAAUUAGUAAAUGUAAUAAUAUUAAAAUAUGAUACUCUUAGAAAUAAAAAAAAAAUAUUAGUUAUUUUUA
rnacentral:lncRNA from 1 species